GUCCACGCCCUAAACGAUGAUCACUAGGUGUUGGGGAAGCGAUUUCUCAGUACCGCAGCUAACGCGUGAAGUGAUCCGCCUGGGGAGUACGGUCGCAAGAUUAAAACUCAAAGGAAUUGACGGGGACCCGCACAAGCGGUGGAUGAUGUGGAUUAAUUCGAUGCAACGCGAAUAACCUUACCUACCCUUGACAUGUACGGAAGCUCAUCGAGAGGUGAGUGUGCCCGAAAGGGAGCCGUAACACAGGUGCUGCAUGGCUGUCGU
rnacentral:rRNA from 1 species